GACGAACGCUGGCGGCGUGCUUAACACAUGCAAGUCGAACGGUGAAGCGCCUUCCUUUUUGGUGGGUGUGGUUGCGUGGCGAACGGGUGCGUGACACUUGAGUAACCUGCACCCUUCUUCUGGAUAACCGCAUUAGAGUGUGUCCCAUACGGGAUCUUCUGGUGCUUUCUCAUGGUGGGUCUGGGUAAGCGGUUGGUUCUGGGGGGGAUGGGCUCGCGGCCUAUCAGCUUGUUGGUGGGGUGAUGGCCUACCAAGGCUGUGACGGCUAGACGGCCUGAGAGGGUGGCCGGCCACACUGGGACUGAGACACGGCCGAGACUCCUAUGGGAGGCAGCAUUCGGGAAGAGUGAACAAUGGGCGCAAGCCUGAUGCAGCGACGACGCGUGUGCGAUGGAGGCCUUCGGGUUGUGAACGUCUUUCGCCAGUGAAGCAGGCCUGCCUCGUUUGUGGGUGGGUUGACGGUAGUUGGAUAAGAAGCGCCGGCUAACUACGUG
rnacentral:rRNA from 1 species